rnacentral:tRNA from 1 species
GAGGGUAUAGCUCAGGGCAGAGCGCAUGCUUAGCACACAUGGGGUCCUGGGUUCAAUCCCCAGCCCCUCCA